AAAGUCGUAACAAGGUUUCCGUAGGUGAACCUGCGGAAGGAUCAUUCACUUGAAACACGAGCAAUGGUGUUAUAACAAACAUCAUUUAUCGUGGAUAAACAACCUUUUCCAACCUAAACCUAACUGAGCCGCGUUAUCAACCAAAUCCUGCGAAAACAUAUUUACUUCGGUUCAAUUUCUGGAAUGUAGUGGGUAGGGGUUGUCUAAAUUCAUUUUUAGCUGACCUCUGUCUGGGCCCUGCUGUUGACCUGGUUUCAACUCGGCGGGGAAUCCUUACAUCAUUUGUGUCUACACUUUUAACCUUGUUGGCUUGAGAAAUUGGGCUAACUUAUUGAAACAAUUUAUACAACUCUUUGCAAUGGAUAUCUUGGUUCUC
rnacentral:misc_RNA from 1 species